rnacentral:rRNA from 1 species
UAGGGAAUCUUCGGCAAUGGGGGCAACCCUGACCGAGCAACGCCGCGUGAGUGAAGAAGGUUUUCGGAUCGUAAAGCUCUGUUGUAAGAGAAGAACGUGUGUGAGAGUGGAAAGUUCACACAGUGACGGUAACUUACCAGAAAGGGACGGCUAACUACGUGCCAC